rnacentral:rRNA from 1 species
UACGAAGGGGGCAAGCGUUGUUCGGAAUUACUGGGCGUAAAGGGCGCGUAGGCGGCUUACCAAGUCAGGCGUGAAAUUCCCGGGCUCAACCUGGGGGCUGCGCUUGAUACUGGUGAGCUUGAAUGCGGGAGAGGAUAGUGGAAUUCCCAGUGUAGAGGUGAAAUUCGUAGAUAUCGGGAGGAACACCGGUGGCGAAGGCGGCGACCUGGGACAAUACUGACGCUGAGGUGCGAAAGCGUGGGGAGCAAACAGG